AUGGCGGAGGAACCGUCCGCCAAGCGUCAUCAUGCCGAGACGUCGGACAAGAGGAGAAACCUCGUCGACAUUAACGUCCCCGGUGAGAAGCGCAAGUACACCAGAACGCUCAAAUGGGUUGAGCUCCAUGGCAAGGAGACACUGGAGAUCGUCUGCACCAGCGAACCAGACAAGGCCGACGAGAUGAUGAGCAGGCUCAGGAUGAAGGGCGGCGGCUUGUAUCCGAGCUUCAUCGGAGUUGAUGUGGAGUACACCGACAAGGAAAAACCUCCACAGAUGGUGGCAGUCCUGCAGUUGUGCGUCGAGGAACUCUGCUUGGUGUACCACAUCGCAGCAGCCACAAAAUGGCCCAAGCACCUCAAAGACUUCCUGUGGGAGGAUAAAUUGUACACAUUUGUUGGUUUCAGCAUUGGAGGUGACAAG
rnacentral:rRNA from 1 species